GGAGGGUUGUCCGAGCGGCCGAAGGAGCUUGUCUUGAAAACAAGUGGGCGGAAACGUCUCAGGAGUUCGAAUCUCCUACCCUCCGCCA
rnacentral:tRNA from 1 species